CAGAACCAGGGGCCUGCAGGGGACAAAGGGGUUCGCAGGAAGGCAUGAGACAGCAGGAGGUCUCCUCCCCCAGGGUGUGUGGCUGGGUGGGGAGGGGUCCCAUCUGGAAAUCAAGGGCGCAAUGGAUCUAGGGUGACCAGCCCAUCCUGGCCCGCCUGAGACUUUUCCCUUUUUAGCGCUAAAAGUGCCAGGGCCUUGCCUGGUGGCUCAGACCUGUAAUGCCAGCACAUUGGGAGGCUGACACCGGAGAAUCACCUGAGCCAGGAGAUUGAGCCCAGCCUGGGCAAUAUAGUGAGACUCCAUCUCUACAAAAUAAUAAAAUAAAUUACUAGCAAGGCGUGGUGGCAUGUGCCUGUGGUCCCAGCUACCAGGGAGGCUGAGGUGGGAGGAUCGCUUGAGCCCAGUAUUUUGAGGCUGCAGUGAGCCAUGAUCACACCACUGCACUGCGGCCCAGGCAACAAAGCAAGACCCUGUCUCAAAGAAGAAAAAAGUUCCGCUUCCAGGGUAAGCCCACAGCCCCAGUGGGUCACUGGAAGUGGGCAGGAAACCAACAUAUAUGAGGCCAAGUGAAAUGACUCACCUUUGAAGAAGAAAGUUUCCCCUCGGAUGUUGGCGAUGGCGUCAAAAUUGCCCUCACAUCGAUCAGGGAUGGGGAAGGAUGGGCUGGGGAGGAAAGGAGAGGUGAGUAGAGAGGGGGGUUUGUUUUCUCCAAGGCAGGGACCCCCACCAUCCCCAUCUCAGAGGACACUGAGGCUGGGCAGCUGGUCACCCAAGGUCUCCGAGUUGGUGGGGGACUCACCUGUGUGUGGGCGAGGCCGGGGGCUGGGGCGGAGGAGCCAGGGGUUUCCUUGUGGGCUUGUCAUAUGGGGUUUGGGGCGCCUUCCCUGUGAGGAAAGAGUCAGGCAGGUGUGCGUCCCCUGGCCCUGCUGCAGAGGACACUGGAUGGGGCAAUGAUGGUUUCGCGGCAGGUCCCUCUCCCCCUACCAUAGAGUUGCUGCAGGCCAUCGCGGUCAUCCUGAGACAGGCGGUACUUGUCAGGGUCGCCCACCGGACCCUGGUAGAAGGGCCUCAUAAUGGAGUUGGGGGCUGAGGAGUGGCCCAGGCCCAGGGCGUGGCCAAACUCAUGGACAGCCACGGCAAACAGCUCAGGCGCUCAGGACUGCCAGGACCCAGAGGAUUCACACGCCAGCCCCGGCUGAAGCCCAGCUCCUCAUCAACCGGUGAGCCGCCUGCCAGCUCCUGCUCCAGCUGCUGAGAGGCCUGAAGAGACCAAGACAGAGACACAGCCCCGCAGCACCACAGGGAGGCCCCAGUUACCCCAUGCGGAUGAGUUUCAUGGCCAUCUCUAACUAAGGACAGGACAUCGAUGUCAUCUGUAACUUCCGGUGCACUGGGGCACACAGCUGCAUCUCCCCAUGCUCACCUCCUGCCUCUUGCUCUGCCCAGUGUGAGGACUCAGCCUGGAUCACCUCCUCCAGGACAAGAACAACCUACCAUCAUCUAAGCUCGCCAACCCCCGUGGACUGCUGGCUCUCAAGGCGGCCGCUAGCCCAGCUCCGACAGCAGCUGACAAUGCACAGUAUGCGGCCCAGGGCAGGCCCUGUGCUGAGAGGCAUGGGUGAAUGGCUCAUUUCAUCGGCAAGCCCACGCCACCAGCAGGCGCCGUUCUCCUCGCAUUUCUCAGGCGAGGAACCUGAGACAAUGAGGUUAAGGAAGUUGUUCAUUACAAGUGGAAGAACCCUGACUUACUUGAAUUCAGCUUUGAAGCCCA
rnacentral:lncRNA from 10 species